UGGGGAUUGGUGUAACGGUAGCACUAGGGUUUCUGAUUCCCUCAGUCCAAGUUCAAAUCUUGGAUCCCCAG
rnacentral:tRNA from 3 species